CUGCUAUGAAGGGAGUUUGGGGCCAUCCUGAGAUACAUGAGACCCUGUCUCAAAAACCAACAGCAUAGAAACUAAAAUUAGAACAGUACAGAGAAGAUUAGCAUGGCCUCUGUGUAAGGGGUGACAUGAAAAUUCAUAAAGCAUUCCAUACUUAA
rnacentral:snRNA from 1 species